UUCCAGCUCCAAUAGCGUAUAUUAAAGUUGUUGCAGUUAAAAAGCUCGUAGUUGAAUUUCGGGGUUAGUAGGUUGGUCAUGCCUCCGGUAUGUACUGAUCUCACUGAUUCCUCCUUCCUUAUGAACCGUAAUGCCAUUAAUUUGGUGUUGCGGGGAAUUUGGACUGUUACUUUGAAAAAAUUAGAGUGUUUAAAGCAGGCUAACGCUUGGAUACAUUAGCAUGGAAUAAUGAAAUAGGACGUUCGAUCUUAUUUUGUUGGUUUCUAGGAUUGACGUAAUGAUUAAUAGGGAUAGUUGGGGGCAUUAGUAUUCAAUUGUCAGAGGUGAAAUUCUUGGAUUUAUUGAAGACUAACUACUGCGAAAGCAUUUGCCAAGGAUGUUUUCAUUAAUCAAGAACGAAAGUUAGGGGAUCGAAGACGAUCAGAUACCGUCGUAGUCUUAACCAUAAACUAUGCCGACUAGGGAUCGG
rnacentral:rRNA from 1 species